CAUUACGAAAAGUUUCAAUAACCAAAAUGAAAGCAAAACAUUACAGCGACAAAAAUUAUUUUAAUAACUUAAGUCAUGUGAAACAGUUGAAAAACCGUGAAUAACCUUGUAAUUACAUGAAUAUUUUCGAUGAAGAAGGAAGACAGUAAAAUGGGAAAUUAAAAUAAACAUUAAAAAAUACAAAUGAAGGGAAGAGAAUAAUGAUAUACGACUGGUGAAAGAGGAAGCUUUAUUAUGACUGCGCUUACUAAUAGCUAGCAGUGCAUGUUCAUUCACGCCGGUAUCGGAAAUAUUCUUAGUCAUUAAUCAGACAUGUACAUGAUGAAAUUAAUAUUCAUUUGUAGUCAAUUUUCGUGAUUAAAGUACAAGAUUU